UAGGGAAUAUUGGACAAUGGGCGAAAGCCUGAUCCAGCAACGCCGCGUGCGCGAUGACGGCCUUCGGGUUGUAAAGCGCUUUUAGAGGAGAUGAGAAAGGACAGUAUCCUCAGAAUAAGCCUCGGCGAACUACGUGCCAGCAGCCGCGGUAAAACGUAGGAGGCUAGCGUUAUCCGGAUUUAUUGGGCGUAAAGCGCGUGCAGGCGGUUUGAUAAGUUGGAUGUGAAAUCUCCCGGCUUAACUGGGAGCGGUCGUUCAAAACCAUCAGACUAGAGAAUGGGAGAGGAAGGUGGAAUUCCGGGUGUAGUGGUGAAAUGCGUAGAUAUCCGGAGGAACACCGGUGGCGAAAGCGGCCUUCUAGACCAUUUCUGACGCUAAGACGCGAAAGCUAGGGUAGCACACGG
rnacentral:rRNA from 1 species